GCAAAAUGGAUCCGUAACCUCGUUAAAAGGAUUGACUCUCAAGAUUGGACAUAAGGUGUAGGUAACUAUAUAUUUGAUAAUAAAAAUGAGGUUUUAAUUUGUGUUUUUAAAUAUAUAUAUUAUUUAUUUAUUUAAUAUUUUUAAUUCUUAAUGAAAAAAAAAUUAAUUGGUUCAAAAAUUUUAAAUCGUAUUGAAUCAAAUAUUAUUUAGUAAAAUUUUCUAUUUAAGAUCCAACAAUGCUUAUCCCUAUUAAAAAUAUCAACAAAAUGUUUCUUCUAAAGCUGGUUAACCUAUUUGGACCAGGCAAUGCUCAUGAAAGCACUAUCAAGAAAAUUCUCUUUUAGCUGAGUAACGUAGUUGCAUAAAAGAUCCGUAGCUCUGAUAAUUUAGAUAAAAACCAUGGCCAGGUACAAUUAUUCAAACUGAGCCUUUCUCUCUCUUGCUUUCCAAUUGGCAUCUGGCAACGGGUUUCAUCUCUCUCCGCCACUCUCAUCUACCGUUCUUUCUGCUUUGAAGCCACUGAACCACCUCCAUAUCUGUAGCCUAUAGGUAUCGGUUCUUGUUUGUAUUGUUUUCAGUUUUGGAAGAUUGGAGACAUGGAUUUGAAACCCAGUUUCUCUGUUAAAUCCUCUCCAUCUUCCACUCCUGCUCUCUUCGGCACUCUGUGCCGACCCCGGGAAUUUGGGUGUCGAUCGAGUUCAAGAGUUUCCGCGUCUGUUUCAUCNNNNN
rnacentral:lncRNA from 1 species